GAAAUAUGCAUAUACAAAGUUUAUUGAAGGACGGACAGAGAACAUGAAGAUCCAGAACCCUGCAGAAUCAAACACACUGAAGAACAAACAGAUCAAAUGGAGGAGAAAAUACAUCAAAACUGGA